rnacentral:rRNA from 1 species
GACGAACGCUGGCGGCGUGCUUAACACAUGCAAGUCGAACGAUGACGACCGAGCUUGCUCGGUCUGAUUAGUGGCGAAAGGGUGAGUAACACGUGAGCAACCUGCCCUUCACUCUGGGAUAACCUCGGGAAAUCGGGGCUAAUACCGGAUAUGAGCUCCUGUCGCAUGGCGGGUGUUGGAAAGUUUUUCGGUGAAGGAUGGGCUCGCGGCCUAUCAGUUUGUUGGUGAGGUAGUGGCUCACCAAGGCGAUGACGGGUAGCCGGCCUGAGAGGGCGACCGGCCACACUGGGACUGAGACACGGCCCAGACUCCUACGGGAGGCAGCAGUGGGGAAUAUUGCACAAUGGGCGAAAGCCUGAUGCAGCGACGCCGCGUGAGGGAUGACGGCCUUCGGGUUGUAAACCUCUUUCAGCAGGGAAGAAGCGAAAGUGACGGUACCUGCAGAAGAAGCGCCGGCUAACUACGUG